rnacentral:rRNA from 1 species
AGCGAACGUUUGCGGCGGGCCUAACACAUGCAAGUCGAACGGGCUAGCAAUAGUCAGUGGCGCACGGGUGCGUAACACGUGGGUAAUCAACCCUUCAGCUCGGGAUAACGCCUUGAAAGGGGCGCUAAUACCGGAUACGACGCGAGGAGCUUCGGCUGCUCGCGGGAAAGAUUCGCAAGGAUCUCUGAAGGACGAGCCUGCGGCCCAUCAGCUAGUUGGUGAGGUAAGAGCUCACCAAGGCGAAGACGGGUAGCUGGUCUGAGAGGAUGAUCAGCCACACUGGAACUGAGACACGGUCCAGACUCCUACGGGAGGCAGCAGUGGGGAAUAUUGCGCAAUGGGCGAAAGCCUGACGCAGCCACGCCGCGUGAGCGAUGAAGGCCUCGGUCGUAAGACUCUGUGGGAGGAGAAGAA